rnacentral:rRNA from 1 species
GAGUUUGAUCGUGGCUCAGAUUGAACGCUGGCGGCAGGCCUAACACAUGCAAGUCGGGCGGUAGAGAGAAGCUUGCUUCUCUUGAGAGCGGGCGGACGGGUGAGUAAUGCCUAGGAAUCUGCCUGGUAGUGGGGGAUAACGCUCGGAAACGGACGCUAAUACCGCAUACGUCCUACGGGAGAAAGCAGGGGACCUUCGGGCCUUGCGCUAUCAGAUGAGCCUAGGUCGGAUUAGCUAGUUGGUGAGGUAAUGGCUCACCAAGGCGACGAUCCGUAACUGGUCUGAGAGGAUGAUCAGUCACACUGGAACUGAGACACGGUCCAGACUCCUACGGGAGGCAGCAGUGGGGAAUAUUGGACAAUGGGCGAAAGCCUGAUCCAGCCAUGCCGCGUGUGUGAAGAAGGUCUUCGGAUUGUAAAGCACUUUAAGUUGGGAGAAGGGCAGUAAAUUAAUACUUUGCUGUUUUGACGUUACCGACAGAAUAAGCACCGGCUAACUCUGUGCCAGCCGCCG